AGAGUUUGAUCCUGGCUCAGGAUGAACGCUGGCGGCGUGCCUAAUACAUGCAAGUCGAACGGGGAGUAUUUACUUCGGUUUUUACUCCUAGUGGCGAACGGGUGAGUAACGCGUUGGUGACCUGCCCCGAAGAGGGGGAUAACUCCGCGAAAGCGGAGCUAAUACCCCAUGUGGUCUUUCAGGUUAGAGGCUGGAUGACUAAAGGAGCAAUCCACUUCGGGAGGGGCCUGCGUCCCAUCAGCUAGUUGGUAAGGUAACGGCCUACCAAGGCGAUGACGGGUAGGGGGCCUGAGAGGGUGGCCCCCCACACUGGCACUGAAACACGGGCCAGACACCUACGGGUGGCAGCAGUAGGGAAUAUUGCACAAUGGGCGAAAGCCUGAUGCAGCAACGCCGCGUGCGCGAAGAAGGCCUUCGGGUUGUAAAGCGCUUUUCUGGAGGAAGAGGAAGGACGGUACUCCAGGAAUAAGGAUCGGCUAACUACGUGCCAGCAGCCGCGGUAACACGUAGGAUCCGAGCGUUAUCCGAAUUUACUGGGCGUAAAGCGCGUGUAGGCGGCCGGGUAAGUUGGACGUGAAAGCUCCUGGCUCAACUAGGAGAGGUCGUUCAAAACUGCCUGGCUAGAGGGCGACAGAGGGAGGUGGAAUUCCCGGUGUAGUGGUGAAAUGCGUAGAUAUCGGGAGGAACACCAGUGGCGAAGGCGGCCUCCUGGGUCGCCCCUGACGCUCAGACGCGAAAGCUAGGGGAGCAAACGGGAUUAGAUACCCCGGUAGUCCUAGCUGUAAACGAUGUGGACUUGGCGUUGGUGGGGUUAAAUCCAUCAGUGCCGGAGCUAACGCGAUAAGUCCACCGCCUGGGGACUACGGCCGCAAGGUUAAAACUCAAAGGAAUUGGCGGGGGCCCGCACAAGCAGCGGAGCGUGUGGUUUAAUUCGAUGCUACACGAAGAACCUUACCCGGGUUUGACAUCCAGGUGGUAGGGAACCGAAAGGCGACCGACCCUUCGGGGAGCCUGGACAGGUGCUGCAUGGCUGUCGUCAGCUCGUGUCGUGAGAUGUCCGGUUAAGUCCGGUAACGAGCGCAACCCUUGCUGUAUGUUAUACGUGUCAUACAGGACUGCCGGUUUAGUGCCGGAGGAAGGCGGGGAUGACGUCAAGUCAGCAUGGCCUUUAUAUCCGGGGCUACACACACGCUACAAUGGCCAGUACAACAGGUUGCAAAACCGCGAGGUGGAGCCAAUCCCCAAAACUGGUCUCAGUUCAGAUUGCAGGCUGCAACUCGCCUGCAUGAAGUCGGAGUUGCUAGUAACCGCGCGUCAGCUAUAGUGCGGUGAAUACGUUCUCGGGCCUUGCACACACCGCCCGUCACGUCAUGGAAGCUGGCAACACCUGAAGCCGGUAUCCUAACCGCAAGGAUGGAGCCGUCGAAGGUGGGGCUGGUGACUGGGACGAAGUCGUAACAAGGUAGGUGUACCGGAAGGUGCGCCUGGAUCACCUCCUU
rnacentral:rRNA from 1 species